UAAUCGCUUUUUCUGUUAUGGACAGGCGAGAGUCACCAAUAAUUGUGGGUCACGGAAGAGCAGCUUCAUCCUCCUUCCGGUGGGCGGGGCCUGAGGCUUCCCAGCGCCCCCGAAAAGGUGAAAGGUGGAGUAUUGGAAGGAGCCUCCAGUGGGCGGGACGAUGCCGGGAGGAGCCAAUGAGGAGGCAGCGUGAGGGGGCGGGGCCGGAGCCGGGGUCGAGGGCUGGCGCCCGUGGUGGGCCGGGAGGGACCUGGGAGCACGGUUUAGGGUAGAAGCGCAGUGCCAGCUUCCGUCUUCCCGGGCCGCUCCCACACCUGCGCGGACACCCCUGGUCUCCCUUUGCUCUGGGAACGAGCGUGGGGAGCCCUGUUCACCCUCACACCCCGGCUCUAGAGCGGCGCAGAACAUUUCGUGUUUGCUAAGUGCGCUAGUGCCACCCAAACGGCGGCGCAGGUGCUUGAGAAAUAACGGCAGAGGCAGCCGUUGGGAAGGCGCGCCCACCCGACGCUGCUUCUCCGGGCGCCCGAGGCGGAGGGGAGAAGGCACUGGGGUCUCCGUCUCAACCAGUGAGUUCUGGUGAAACGAAACAAAGCCCAGGAAGCAAAUGGGACAAAAUGUUAGCGGUUUUGAUGAUGCUGGAUGCUGGGAAUGUGGACGUGUGUUUGUUUUGUACCUUUCUGUUAUUUUCAGUUUUCUCCAGACACCAAAAACAGACGCGUAUAGAAAACAUUGGGACACAACUAAAGCUCAUAAAUGCACGCGUUUUCAUAACCUGACUGAGGUCCGUGCUGCUGUAGCGCGUACCCCCAAGAGCAGAGGUGCUGGAAGAGCCGGGGCGGCGUGUUCUUACCGUGCCGGCUCGCAAGCGAGGUCCCCGCGGGAGAUAGGGCCUGGCUCCCGCUUCAGCACAGGUUGGCCUCCAGUGCAGUUCUGACGGCCAGGAUCUGAGGGCUGGAGUCCAUGCCCUCCCCAGGAACCCAGGGCGCGAGCUGGUGGCUUCUCGAGUGGAGCGUUGCCUGCUUCUUGCAUUAGUGAAUGUAGGACUGUUUGAGUAAAGGACCAAACCUUUAUUCUUUUGCUUUUUUCCCAUUGAAACCAUUCAUUCAACUCAUGCUAAUUAAAUCCUACUGUUUGCCAGAUGAUAUGCCACUUGCAGAAAGACGCACACAGCUAAACCCCAAGUGUGAGAUGUUGUACAGGACAAAUGACCCUUUCAAUUAAUACCAGUAUUUACGAUAGUAGUAUAAUCAGAAUGAUAAUAUAAUUAAUUGGAGCCUGGAGAAAAAAAAGUGGAACUGAACGGUUAGAGAAUAAAUAAGUUUAAAAGAUAUCAUUGAAUUGAAUGUGUGGAACUUAAUGUGGAUCAUGAUAGAACAAACCAGCUUAAACGAGGCAUUUGAGAGAGAGGUACGGGAGGCCGGGCGCGGUGGCUCACGCCUGUAAUCCCAGCACUUUGGGAGGCUGAGGCAGGCGGAUCACGAGGCCAAAAAAUCAAGACCAUCUUGGCCAACGUGGUGAAACCCUACUAAAAAUACAAAAAUUAGCUGGACGUGGUGGUGGGCGCCUAUAGUCCUAGCUACUUGGGAGGCUGAGGCAGGAGAAUCGCUUGAACCCGGGAAGUGGAGGUUAUGGUGAGCCGAAAUCGUGCCUUGCACUCCAGCCUGGUAACAGAAUUAGACUCUGCCUAAAAAAAAAAAAAAAAAAAAAAAAAAGGUCGGGAUAAUUGGAAUUGAAAUGUAUACUGGGUAUAAGAUGAAAACUGGAGUUAUGGAAUACUUUUGGUAGGGAGCAGUAAGGGCCUUGUGGGUAAAAUGUCCUAACCUUUAGAGAUGCAAAUGUAAGUAUUUGUAGUAAAUUGCCCCUAUCGCUGGUAUUUGCUUUGUAAAUUCUCCAUUACAAAAAGAAAAAUCAACGACAGGUGAAACACAAGUGGCAAAUGUUAAUAAUGGUGGAAGCUGAGUGAUGAAUGCCCCAGGAGUUAUGACGAUUUUCUCGUCUUUUGCAUAUGCUUGUAGUUUUCUGCAAUAAAAUUUGUUUUAUUUUAUUUUGAGACAAAGUCUCACUCUGUUGCCCAGGCUGGAGUGCCGUGGCGGAAUCUCAGCACAUGGCAACCUCCGCAUCCCGGUUCAAGCGAUUCUCACGUGUCAGCCUCCCUAGUAGCUGGUCCUACAGGCGCGUGUCACCAUGCUUGGCUAAUUUUUGUCUUUUUUAGUAGAGACGGGGUUUCACCAUGUUACCCAGGUUGGUCUCAAACUCCUCCUGAGUUCAAGCAGUCCACCCUCUUCAGCUUCCCAAAGUGCUGGGAUUACAAGUGUGAGCCACCAGACCCAGGCUUUCUGCAAUAAAAUUUACAAACCUAUCUCACCUUUCUUAACUGGCUGUGGGGCUCAGAAGGAAUCAGAUGGGCAUCUUGCAGCUCAGAGCCUGAUGAAGAGUUGUAGCUGCUGUUUCCCAAGACAGAUGAGCACAGGUCGUCCCAGUGGGGAUGCCAUGUUGGGUACUGUGAACCUCCGCUCAGGCCAGGCCAGCCACCAGGCCAUGCCCUGUGUCCAUAUCCAAAUCUGUGGGAUUUCUCUGAUCUGCCAGAGAAAGGCCUGACACCUCGUGGCCACAUCAGGAACUGCUCCACAGGCAGUCAGCUAUUGGGAACCUACCUGCUCAGGUAGCUCCCCGAGGUCUGGAACUGCACCACAGUGCAAGUUCUCUUCAUGUGGAGGUGAAGCUGCCUGUGUGGAAGACUCUUGGAUUAGUCAUCUGAGCACACGUCCAGCAAUGGGCAUGGAUGGCCUAGCCAGAGUCUGUGGGUGCAGGAAGAGCUGACUGUACAGCACGUGGUGCCCCUAACAAACACGUGGUGUUUAAAAAGAAAAAAAGGUCGUGCAGAUGGUCUGACAGUCUGUCGACUGUGGGUGUGGUGCUCAUGGCAGCUGAGCACUGCCCGGGUAACAGACUGUGUGCUGGGUGCUUCAAAGUUGUCCUCUUGGGGAUCAGCCCAACUCUGGUGAGGUGGGGAACCAGGCUCAGCCAGGUUAGGUGACUUCCACCAGGUCAUGCGGGUGUAAGAAAGGCAGGACUCUUGUGUAUUUCUCCUAACUGAGCCCACAGUCUGCGUCGGGGCUGAAGCCAGAACCCACAUAUAUUCAGCACAGGGUGAUUGCUGUCAUGAGCUGCAUUGCUGUGAUCCCUUGGCAAGGACACGAAUUUUCAUCCUUUUAUUCGACUUUGAAAGAAUCAAAUUGAGAAAAAUAUGAGUUUGAUGAGGCAUGGCAGACAGAAUUCUAAAGUUGGGCCCACUGACUUGUACCCCUGGCUGUUCAGUCAAACAGUAGCCUAGGUGCUGCUGUGUAGGGACUGAUGGAAUGAAAGUCCCCAGCCAUUUGACCUUGAGAUCAGAGAUUAUCUGGUGGGCGUGGCCUCAUGAGCCUAAUGAAAGCAGGGAGCUUUCUCCAGCUGUCAGCAGAAAGGAAGGUCAAAUACAAUAUGUGAGAAAGGCUGGAAUUAACAUUGCUGGUUUGAAGGAGGACGUGUUUGUGUGAGAAGGCAUGUGAGUGACUUAUAGAAGCAAAAUGGCCCCCAGCCAGGGAACGAGGACCCCAGAGCUGCAGCCGCCAGGAGCUGGACUCGGGGCCACCUGAAUGCAACUGGAGGAGGAUUCUCCCCGAGAGCCUUCGGGGAAGAGCUCAUCCCAGCCACCACCUUGAUUUAGACCUUGUGAGACCUGGAGUGGAGAGCCCAGCUUAAUUCACUUGCCGCUGUCAACAUCCUGGACCCGCCACAGAGAAGAACCCGAGUUUCCCAGGUGAAGAGACUUGCCUGAAAAGGGGUUAACUGACAACGUGGCAGCCGAUCCACCGCUGCUUCCCCUCGCCUGCUGGUUCCAAACUGAGAAUGAUGUUCUGGAGGGAGCCUGGCUGCUGUUGAAAGGCAGGAAGACAAAAGGGCCUGCAGACACUGCCUGGAAGUCACAGUGCCACUUCCAGUACCGAAGCCCUUGGCUCUGCCAGCCUCUGCUCCACUCCUGCAAGGCGCCUCCAGCCCCGCCCUCGCACUGAGAAACCAGCUACAAAUUAGCUUCAUUCGCUUCCCUUGGUUUGAGUUGAGCUUCUGUCACUUGCAGCUGAUGGUCUUCACCAAAAUAAGUCUUAACAGCCACAUCUGCGGGAGGCAUUGUAGCCCCAGUCGGCAGAUGAGGGUGGGUGGUGGGGUCAGGGCCCAGGCCCUUUCCAGUACACACUUUCCUGCCCCUCAUGUCAUCAAAGCACGCUGACACCCAUGUUGGGCCUGUUUCACUGAGUCUCUGCAAGGGUUUUCUAGACAAGGGGGCGAAGCAGAGCCAUGGCCAGAGGAUGCACAGCUGUGGGCGGCCGGGCUGGGCUGGCCCCACCCCCCAUGCUACCCACCACCCAGGCUGCAGGCACCGACGAGGAUCCAGCUGAGGAGGGCAUGCAGGCAGAUGAAUGAGUGGCUGAGCAUCGGUGAGCAGCGACAGAGGUCAGGGUACCCACGGACACCACGCUGCCUGUGUGAGGUGACAGCGGUAACUUCAGCAACGGUGGUGCAGAGUCUCAACUCUGUUGCACAGGCUGGAAUUCAGUGGCUCAGUCUCAUCUCACUGCAACCUCCACUCCCUGGGUUCAAGCAAUUCUCCUGCCUCAGCCUCCCGCGUAGCUAGGAUUACAGGUGUGUGCCACCACACCCAGCUAAUUUUUCAAUUUUCAGUAGAGAUGGGGUUUUGACUUUUAGGCCAGUCUGGUCUCAAACUACUGACCUCAAGUGAUCUGCUCUCCUUGGUCUCCCAAAGUGCUGGCAUUACAGGCAUGAGCCACUAAGCCCAGCCCAGAAAAUAGACUCUUAUCACACUUAUGCAAGUAGCUAAAGUGCCAUAAAUUAAGAGUACUCACAAAUAGCUUCCAAAUUUUGGAGAAAUCAGGUAGUGAGAAACAAAUAUGCUCCAUAUUUUGUUCACAGGAGUAUACUUUACUCAAUUGCAAAAAGCUGUAAAUAGCACAAAGGUUUCCUUCACUCUGAUGAAUGAAAAAGAAUCAGUAGUGUUUUAGCGAAAAAGAUUACUUCAGUUUUAUAUUGGUUUAGUUAACUCCUGUCGUAUUUGAUAUUUAUGAACAUUCCAGCUCUUCAUCAGAAUUCUGAAAGCUGUUUCAUCUAUUCUAAUGUUACAAUUUACAAAGUUAUUAGAAACCUGCAUUUAAGCCACUAGCUAGAGUUUUAUUAUUAAUUAUAAACCACCUUUUAAAGAGGAUUAAAACAAGACAAUGAUUAUCUGUGGAUGAAAAGUUUUAAGAGAGCCACUGUUAGAACCAUGAUUGAUAAGGAAAUUUGGUUACUUAUGUGGCACAAAAAAUUUUACCUAACAAUUAUUAAUAACUACACUAAGUCAUAUUACAAUUAUAGGAGUUUCCCAUCACUUUGGAACAUAUACCACUUAUACCAAAUCUUACAAUCCUUCACCAAAAACACAUUUUCAACUUUUAUUUCUGGCAAAAAUCUUGGUAAAUUUGAGAUUCUAAUUAUGUAUUAUGUGUGGAGCUUGCCUAGGACACACCAGGCAAAAGUGUAGAUUUAGAGCUGACUCUCCAGCAUAGCUGGGGACAUGGCUAACUCCACAUGUCUCCAGGCCUUACCUAGCUGUAAAGCAGGCAAGUUGUACAGUAAAAGUCAUAGUAUUAUUUAGGAGACCUAACAACCUUUGAAUUGUACAACAGUUCUUGCACAAAUUCCCUUUCACAAAUCCUUUCAUGACUUAGAUGACCUGAGACAUUAGACUUUCUGACUUGCUGUAAACAUUCCUCCUUUUAAAUAACCAGUCAUUUUACUUUAGAACAAGAUUUUUUUUUUUUUAAGCUGGAGUCUUGCUCUGUCACCCAGGCUGGAGUGCAGUGGAAUUAUAGGUUCAUGCCACCAUGCCCCAUUAACUUUUGUAAUUUUUAGUAGAGAUGGGGUUUCACCAUGUUGGCCAGGCUGGUCUUGAAUGCCUGACCUCAUGAAGAUCUGCCCACCUUGGCCUCCCAAAGUUCUGGGGUUACAGGUGUGAGCCAUUGCAUCCAGUCUAGGACAAUAUUUUUUUUUAGACAGAGUUUCACUCCUGUUGCUCAGGCUGGAGUGCAGUGACACAAUCUCAACUCACUGCAACCUCCACCUUCUGGGUUGAAGUGAUUCUCCUGCCUCAACUUCCCAAGUAGCUGGGAUUAGAGGCUUGUGCCACCACACCGGGCUGAUAUUGUAAUUUUAGUAGAGAUGGGGUUUCACCAUGUUGGUCAGGCUGGUCUCGAACUCCUGACCUUAGGUGAUCCACCCACCUUGACCUCUCAAGUGCUGGGAUUACAGGUGUGAGCCACCGUGCCUGGUGCAAGAUCCUUUCUUAUAGAAAAUCUCUUUCUUCAUAAUCAUCUUUGUAUAGCUAGGAAGCAUGCCUAAUUCCCCAUGUCCCAGGUCUUAUCUAGAAUCUAAUGGCUUUAAGGUAGGUAGAUUGAAUAAUUUUUAAAAAUUAAAGAAGUAGUUUAUGAUCUUAAAGCAUUUAGCAAAUUUAGUAUCUGACCUUCACAAUUUAGACUAAAUGUUUUUUAUCAAUAAUUUUUAAAGCUGUUUUUAUUUCCCAAAGAUUACUAAAGUUGCAUGAACUAAAAGGCAUUGCAAUUUUUUUUUUUUUUUGGAAGGAGUCUCCUUCUGUUGCCCAGGCUGGAGUGCAGUGGCACAAUCUCGGCUCACUGCAACCUCUGCCCUAGUUCAAGCCAUUCUCCUGCUUUAGCCUCCUGAGUAGCUGGGAUUACAGGUGCGUACCACCAUGCCUGGCUAAUUUUUGUAUUUCUAGUACAGGCAGGGUUUCACCAUGUUGGCCAGGCUGAUCUCAAACUCUUGACCUUGUGAUCCGCCUGCCUCAGCCUCCCAAAGUGCUGGGAUUACAGGCGUGAGCCACUGUGCCCAGCCCCAGGCAUUGCAGUUUUUAUUUUGCCUUCAGAAUAUUUGAUAUAAGUGCUUAUUUGUGUUUAAGCCAAUUAAUUAGUGCUCUUUUAUGUAAACAUUACAGAAAACACGUAUAGCUAUACAGAAAGACAGAAGACGAUUACUACAGUAGUUGUAAAAUUUUUCAUUAGCCAGUUUUUAAGUUUUCUAGUUAGAUGACUGGCUGUCAGGUGGAGCCCUUGGAAGAACAGGGCCGGGAAAGGGGUCUCUGGUGCCUCUGUUUUUCUCAAGGAGUCUAGGCUGUUAGAGUUUGAAUAUCCACUUUUAAUUAAACUGAUUUUAACCACAACACUCCUGAACAAAGUCCUUUUAGAAUUUCUUCUGCCAAACAGCCGAUAUUUCUAGCCUUUGAACUUUAACCUCCCAGGUGCUUAGAGAAAGGAAAACUUAAAACACUCCAUGGAGGAGAGUCGAAUAGACAAGGUCGUGCAGACAUUAAACCAGAAAGGACUUACUUCCUAGGUGGGGAAUCAAGCCUGGAUCGCCACUGUGAAAGUGUGAAGCUUUGGCCACUGAGCUCCAGCAUGGGGCAGCCUCCAUCGCCCUUCCCAGAAGGAGUGAGUGCAGAAGAGUGAAUUUUGAGCUUGCCAAGGCUUUUUAACAAAUAUGAUUUUUACAGCUAACUAUGACAUGAACCCUAAGAUUCCUGUUCCCUGGAAGGGGGAGACCAAAAGUACUGCCAUGUGGUCACAAGGUCAAGUUCCCAAGGACAUAAAACAAGGUGGAGACUUUGCCCAGUUUUUUUUUGUUGCAGGCACCUGCAGCCAAGUCUGCUACUGCCCGGUUUGCUGGGUCAUCGUGAACAGCGGGCUUACAGGUGUUCUAAGGCCGUGUUUUACCCUGAAAUUACCCCUCAACACAGAAAAAUGAACUCAUAGCACAAAACACACCAGCUUAAGACUAGCCUUAGAAUUCUUUUUUGCAUUAAUCAAAACUUGACAGAAGAGCUAAACACUGAUUAUUUUAUUAUAUUUUAUUUUUUUUUUUACCAUUCGUUCAACUGUUUGCACAGAGAGAAGCCAGGUAUCUGGCUGGUAAGAACGUCUGACUCUUUUUUAAAAUUUUUUGAGAUGGAGUGUCACUCUGUUGCCCAAGUUGGAGUGCAGUGGCACGAUCUCAGCUCACUGCAACCUCUGCCUCCCGGGCUCAAAGGAUUCUUCUGCCUCAGCCUCCCGAGUAGCUGGGACUACAUGCGUGUGCCACCAUGCCUGGCUAAUUUUUUGUAUUUUUAGUAGAGACAAGGUUUCACUGUGUUAGUCAGGAUGGUCUCGAUCUCCUGACCUCGUGAUCCACCCACCUUGGCCUCCAAAAGUGCUGGGACUACAGGUGUGAGCCACUGUGCCCAGCCAGAAAUUCUUACCCUUUUGCUGGUAUUCCAGGCUUCCGGGUUCCCUUUCCCUGAGCAGCCUUAGUGAUCCAGCUUGUGGCACCAUCACCCAGGGGCCAAGCCUCAUCAUAAAGGAAAUUAUUAUUUUUUGUUCUGGCCAAAACAAAAUACAUGUGAUAAAACCUAGACAUUAGCCACUCUGCUUAGCCCCCACUAUCAAAUUGGCAAGGCUGAAAUUUGUCCUCAGAUGGGCCCCUUCUUCUUUAAUCCAGUUUCCAACUUGGAGUUUCACCACGUGGUCUCUGGGCAAGAUGGCUGCCCUGAGUAACAGAAAAGAUAGGAAAGGAAAAGGAGAGAAGGAAAGCGUUGCCUGAGUCAGGGUGGGGAAGGGGAAGAGCGCAGGGAGGCCAGAAAAGACCCACUCAUUGCAGCGGACAGUGAAGACUUCAGGCGGCCACUUGUCGGCAGCAAAGGAAUCUUUUCCAGCAGUCCCGUCGCUCUCAAGUUUCCCCAUUUAGGGAGGAAAAAGCUCCCCAAGUCCCACAAUCCUGUACCUGCCAACCGUGUCACCCACAGCCAUCAGCAAAGAGUGCAGGGCAGAUUAAUCCAAAGAGACGAGCAGUUACAUCCCCUGGGGCCAAACCUGUUCUUAGCUGCGAGGGAUUUUGCUGUCUUUAAACCCCUAACUCUUAGAAGGGACUCUAACCCUCCCUAAGUUGGGUGUUUAACCCAAGGUCGGUCAAGCAUCCUUGCCUUUUUUUUUUUUUUUUUUUUUGAGACGGAGUUUCGCUCUUGUUACCCAGGCUGGAGUGCAAUGGCGCAAUCUCAGCUCACUGCAACCUCCGCCUCCUGGGUUCAGGCAAUUCUCCUGCCUCAGCCUCCUGAGUAGCUGGGAUUACAGGCAUGCGCCAUCAUGCCCAGCCGAUUUUUUGUAUUUUUAGUAGAGACGGGGUUUCACCAUGUUGACCAGGAUGGUCUCGAUCUCUUGACCUCGUGAUCCACCCGCCUUGGCCUCCCAAAGUGCUGGGAUUACAGGCUUGAGCCACCGUGCCCGGCCUGCAUUCUUGCCUUUUAUUAAGAGGGGCCUCUAACCCGCUCUGUCUUAGGGGAGAAUCCAACUUCCCUAAGUAGGCCUCUAACCCAAUCCCGUCCUUUACCCGGGUACCCCAUCGCUCACCCAGAGUCAGCCAAUCUGUGCUGCAGUGGAUUUCCUUUGGGUCGGGGGUCUCCUCAGUAUUGUCCCUUUUGUGGUUCAUGGGAAAGGGGUUACUGGACCCCAGCACUUACACAAAGUUAGCCUUUGGGUCAGGGCUUUCCACAAUAUAGGCCCUUCACGGUCACCAGAAAGAUAUUACAGGGAAGGGGUCCCGAUCCGGACCCCAAGAGCGGGUUCUUGGAGCUGGCACAAGAAUUCCAGGCAAGUCCACAGUGCAAAGUGAAAGCAAGUUUAUUAGGAAAGGGAUAAAAGAAUGGCCACCCCAUAGGCAGGGCAGCCCUGAGGACUGCUGGUGCCCAUUUUUAUGGUUAUUUCCUGGUGAUCUGCUAAACGAGGAGCGGAUUAUUCAUGCCUCCCCUUUCUAGACCAUGUAGGGUAACUUCCUGACGUCGCCAUGACAUUUGUAAACUGUCAUGGCGUUGGUGGGAGUGUAGCAGUGAGGACGGCCAGAGGUCAUUCUCGUGGCCAUCUUGGUUUUGGUGGGUGUUGGCCGGUUUCCUUACUACACCCCGUUUUAUCAGCAAGGUCUUUAUGACCGUAUACUGUGCCAACCUCCUGUCUUAUCCUGUAACUGCCUUAACCAUCUGGGAAUGCGGCCCAGUAGGUCUCAGCCUCAUUUUACCCAGCUCCUAUUUCAGAUGGAGCAGCUCUGGUUCACACACCUCUGAAGAGCAUUAUCACCUAUAGCAAGGACUUGAAAGAGCCGGCAUCACAGCAUGCUGGGCCAGGGUGUGUAAUGACACAGAGAGUGCUUGGUACAGUUUUGUGAAAGUUGUGUGGUAAGAGAGUGUUCCUCUUUGGGAGGCCGAGGCGGGUGGAUCACGAGGUCAAGACAUCGAGAUCAUCCUGGUCAACAUGGUGAAACCCCAUCUCUACUAAAAAUACAAAAAAUUAGCUGGGCAUGGUGGCGCGUGCCUGUAAUCCCAGCUACUCAGGAGGCUGAGGCAGGAGAAUUGCCUGAACCCAGGAGGCGGAGGUUGCGAUGAGCCGAGAUCGCGCCAUUGCACUCCAGCCUGGGUAACAAGAGCGAAACUCCGUCUCAAAAAAAAAAAAAAAAAAAAAGAGAGAGAGUGUUCCUCCACCGUGAUUUCAAUGAUGUGCAACAGCCUGGGAGAAGACAGCAAAACGCGGUCACUGGUCACUUGUGGGGACUGGGAUCCGGGCCAAUUUUAUUUUCUUCUUUGUACUUUUCUAUUUUGUCCAACAUUUUUUUAAAAAAAAUGGGCAUACGUUAACUUUUAAAAAAGCUUGUCUGACUUUAUAUUUAAUGAAAAGGCAUUUUAAUGUAUAAUACAUUAAAUGCAUAUGUACAUUAAUAUUAAUCUGUAUGUUACAUACGUUAAUAUGUACAUUAGUACAGAACAAUCUGAAAUACAUGCACAUGGGCAGAAAGAAUUGAAACCAUAUAAAAAUACAUUUGGAGGACAGUUUCCCUCCUGUGUCUGUCUCUAAAUUCCUUUCCAGGGCAACUGUCACUAUCAUUUCCUGUGGGCGCAUGUGGAGGUAUAUUACAUAACAGUCAUGAAUAUGUAUACAACACCCACGAUUUUUCACAAAUGUUGCGUUUUAUUCAGGCUCUUCUGCUCCUCAUCUUCUUUCUCUUUUAUUUUUUUCUAAAUGAGAAACUUAGCUCUAUUUUUUAUAUUUAUUUAUUUUUAUGUUUUUAUUUUUUUUGAGACAGAGUUUCACUCUUAUUGCCCAGAAUGGAGUGUAAUGGCGCAAUCUUGGCUCACUGCAACCUCUGCUUCCUGGGUUCAAGUGAUUCUCCUGCCUCAGCCUCCUGAGUAGCUGGGAUUAAAGGCCCGCGCCACCAUGCCCAGCUAAUUUUUUUGUAUUUAGUAGAGAAGCGGUUUUACUAUGUUGGUCAGGCUGGUUUCAAACUCCUGACCUCAGGUGAUCCACCCGCCUUGGCCUCCCAAAGUGCUGGGAUUACGGGUGUGAGCCACUGUGUCCAGCCUAUUUGUUGUUGUUAUUAUUAUUAUUAUUAUUAUUUUUGAGGUGGAGCUUCACUCUUGUUUCCCUGGUUGGAGUGCAGAGGCAAGAUCUUGGCUACUGCAACCUCUGUCUCCCAGGUUCAAGCAAUUCUCCCACCUCAGCUUCCUGAGCAGCUGGGAUUACAGGCACCUGCCAGCAUGCCUGGCUACUUUUUGUAUUUUUAGUAGAGACAGGGUUUCACCAUGUUGGCAAGGCUUGUCUCGAACUCCUGACCUCAAGUGCUGUGCCCACCUCAGCCUCCCACAGUGCUGGGAUUACAGGUGUGAGCACUGCACCUGGCCCAACUCUAUUUUUUAAAUGUAACUAAUACAAUCCAAGACUGUUCAUAACUAUGUGUGCAGAUCUACUCAGACUUUUCAAUGGCUCCAUGGCAGUUAUCUCGAUGUCAUCAUAAUUUAAUCUGACCCCAUAUGUGGACAUUUAAAUGUUUCUAAUCUUUGGCACAAGUGUUAAUACAUGUAGAUGUAUAUACGUAUGUAAAUCACUAAGGGGCUAUCAGAUUGCUGUAAUCACUUCUAGCAAUCCAAAAUCCACCUCCAGCAACAACAAAAGUAACAGGAUGCCUGUCUCAUGGUAGGGAAGGUGGGAAUAGCUUUUGAUAAAUAAUUCUGGGUGAGCUGGAGGUUUGUACGGGAAAGGCUUGUCUUGAUUCACCUUCCACGACACCAAAAUAACGCAUUCCGUAUGGACGGCAGAGCUAAGAGUGAAGAGUGAAAAAUCAAGCUUUUAGAGGAAAACAUAGGAGGACAUCUUUGUAGCCUUGGCACAAAUAAAGAUUUCUCAAAAAGUGCUUAAACGUGCUAACUGAGAAAUCGAUAAGUUGAACUGUAUUGAAAACAAGAAGUUCUGUUCAUCAAAAGACACUGUCGGCUGGGCGUGGUGGCUCACACCUGUAAUUCCAGCACUUUGGGAGGCUGAGGCGGGUGGAUCACGAGGUCAGGAGUUUCACCAUAUUGCCUAGCCAAUAUGGUGAAACCCCGUCUCUACUAAAAAUACAAAAAUUAACCAUGUGCGGUGGUGGACCCCUGUAAUCCCAGCUACUCAGGGGGCUGGGGCAGAGAAUUGCUUGGACCCAGGAGGCGGAGGUUACAGUGAGCUGAGAUCGUGCCACUGCACUCCAGCCUGGGCGACAGAGUGAGACUCUGUCUCAAAAAACCAAAAAUUAAAAAACAAACAAAAGACACUGUCAAAAGAGUGGGAAGGAUAGUUGCAAAUAUAUGUAUAUAUCCCAAACAGGACUUGUAUUCAGCAAAUACAGAGAACUAGAGCUUGUGAAGGAAAAGACAGACAACCCCAUGGACCGACGGGGAUACUUCACAGAAGAGGAUAGCUAAUUGUCAAUCAUCACGGAAGAAGUGUUAAUUGCGCUGGUCGUUAGGAAGAUGCAAAUUAAAACCACAAUGUGAAAUGACUACACCCCUGCCCAACCCAAGGCUGAAAAGAAAAAGACCACAAAUACCAAAAGUUGGGGAGGAUGUUUGUGGUUAUUUUGAGCUGUUAGGUUUUGGGGUAAUUUGUUACGUGGCGAUAGCUAGCUAAUACAUCUAGUCAUUCAGAGAGGGUUUUAGGAGUCAUUGAGAAGAUGAGAGGGAUACAUUUUGGGACUCAUUUUAGAGUAGCUUGGUCCUUUUUAUCAAGAUGCAUUGAAAAAUGAAAGCAAUUAUCUCGGCAAUUCGACCAAGGUAAUAUUAAUUCCAUUUGGAGGUAUCCAGUCAAAGUUUAUGAUGUGCCUUUUAUUUUAAUUGAAUUUCUUCAUAAUGGUCCUGAUUCCCAUUUCACUUGGCUGAGGCCAGCUCGGCCUUGAUCUCCAGAAUCCUCCCAGCGCUGGAAACCUCUUUGGCAAUUGGGGUUAAUCACCUCUGUGAUGCUGCUACAUCCAACUGUGAGAGAGAAAAGAUUUCAUCCGAGAAAAGGCCCGCACGCAAGGGAACCCAGCACUCACCGGCAUGUCAUAAAACCUGCCUGACCUUUAAAGCCAAUUACCAGGACAUCUACACCAAGCCAAAUGAAACAACCGUUACGGGGACGGAGCUGAGCAGGCUUUGGAAACCCCACACCAAGUUGUUUCUUCCCACUCUGCCCUUUCUAUAAAACUGUUUCCCCUUAAAAAGCAGCAUCAUGUCUGAGGGGGCUUCUACCUGGAGAAAUUGCCCUGGCCUUAAACCUUGUCAACAUAACGACACAGUCAUCCUUCAAGGAAAAUUCCGAAGACAAGGACAGGUGCUUGCCCGUGAGCUUCGCUUCCUUUCACAGAAUCUCUUUCUUGGCAGCAGCCAUGUGGCCACAAGCUGUUUAGAAGUCAAAGGCCUGGCAGGGGAUGGUGGCUCACGCCUGUAAUCCCAGCACUUUGGGAGGCUGAGGCAGGUGGGCCACCUGAGAUCAGGAGUUAGAGACCAGCCUGGACAAUAUGGUAAAACCCAGUCUCUACUAAAAAUACAAAAAAAAAAAAAAAAAAAAUUAGCCAGGCUUGGUGGUGGGCACCUGUAAUUCCAGCUAUUUGGGAAGCAGAGGGAAGAGAACCGCUUGAACCUGGGAGGUGGAGGUUGCAGUGAGCCGAGAUUGUGCCACUGAGCUCCAGCCUGGGCGACAAGAGCAAAACCCUGUCUCAAAAAAAAAAGUGCAAUUCCACCCCCACCCACGAUGACAGUGAGUCCCAGACACACAGAGGGGCAGGAAGGGGAGUGCUGUGAUGCUGGCUGUGGCCAUGCCACCCUUCUGUCCCCACAUCCUCUUGAGGAUUUUCACCCCCCUCACCCCCACACUCAGAAACACAGGAGCUGCUCCUGGAGGUGGGGCAGGGGGUUUGCUGCCACUUCAGGCAGGACAUAGCGUCUUCACAGCUCACUCCCAUUGGGCUUUAUUUGUUGCCCUUGUUUGUGUCUGUGGGGCUGGGGCCCAGCUCCAAGUGGUCACCCAGGACCCGGUGGACAGGGUCGCCAUUGCGGCAGGUGCCUCUGAGGAGGGGAGACUCCUGCAGAAGGAGCACAUGUUGCCAGCACUCAUGGCCCUCUGGCCAGAGCUGGCCACGGCCGCCUCACUGCUGGGGUAGCCCGAUGGCUGUCUCAGCCACACCCAGGCAUGCUGGUGGCCUUGGCCCCCGGCGGCAUCCCCGGUGCUAGACACUAAGCUCCUGGAGGACAGAGAACAAAAUGCUUUUGCUACUCCUGCCUCCAUGGCUCGGCCCUCACCUUCACUCCCACGCGAGCCCUUUCCUCUGUGUGUGCUUGUGUGUCUGUGUGUGUGUCUGUGUGUGUGCAUGCGCGUGCACCUUGCCACUGGGAACCUCAAUGCUGGUGUUAUUUUAUUUUUCAAAUAUAACUGAUGCCCGAUUUCCCUGUGUGACUUUUCGGCUGUUCGUUUUGAACCCCAAGAUUCUUUCCUAGAUAGCACUCUCGCCGAGCUUGUAUCCAGCUGAAUGCAGUCUGCACGCAGGAAGUAUGAGCCGGCUCUGAUCUCAGUGGAACAGCUGGAUUGUAAACCUGCGGCUUGGAGUCCUCAGGAGCUGCCUUGUUUUUCAGCAUCCGGCUGUCACCGUUUUGACCUUGUGCCUCCCUAACUGAGAAACGACAGAGCUGAGCAGAGCCGGGCGAGAAGCAGGGAGGAGACCUGGCAGCCCCGAGUUGGUUUCUCCAUGAAACAGGCCUGAGAUGGGAAGAAAUUCAGGUUAGAAAUCAGUGCGGAGACUCUCGGUCUCCUCUACCUUAUUAGGUCAUCAGAUGAGACCCAGGUGCACAAUGCAAAAGAUGGUUCACGUUAAAAUUGCUCUUUCAGGUUUGAUGGGCCAUUUUACUCCUGGGCAUCCACCCAAAGGAGCUGAAAGUAGGGGCUUGAACAAACACGUCUGCUAGUGUUCACGGCAGCACGGUCCACACUGGCCAAGAGGCGGACACAGCCCAGAGGGCCAGCAGGGAUGAAUGGAGGCACAAACAUGGUCUAAACAUACAGUGCAAUAUUAUUCAGCCUUAAAAAAGAAUGAAAUUCUGGCUGGGCGCGGUGGCUCAUGCCUGUAAUCCCAGUAUGCUGGGAGGCCGAGGCGGGCAGAUCAUGAAAUCAAGAGACUGAGACCACCCUGGCCAACAUAGUGAAACCCCGUGUCUACUAAGAAAAAAUACGAAAAUUAGGUGGGCGUAGUGGUGCGCGCCUGUAGUCCCAGCUGCUCGGGAGGCUGAGGCAGUAGAAUCACUUGAACCCGGGAGGCGGAGGUUGCAGUGAGUGGAGAUCGCACCACUGCACUCCAGCCUGGUGACAGAGUGAGACUCCAUCUCAAAACAAAACAAAACAAAACAAAAACUGACAUGUUCUACAACAUGGAUGAGGCUUGAGGACAUUUCGAUCAGUGAAAUAAGCCCGACGUGGAAGGACAAAUAUUGUGUGGUUCCACUGGCAUGAAAUAUCCAGACCAGGCAGAUCUCACAUAGAGACAGAAAGUAGAACGGCGGGCGUCGGGGCUGGGGGAGGGCGGCCGGGAGUUCGCGUUAAAUGGGACAGAGUCUCUGUUUGGGAAGACGAGAACGUUCUGGAGAUGGAGGGUGGUGAUGGUGGUACAGCAGUGUGGAUGUGCUUCAGGCCCCUGAACUGUACACCUGAAAGUGGCUAAGAUGGCACAGUUUUUGUUCGAUGUAGUUUUGCCACAGUUGAAAAAUUAGUAAUGUAAAAACAUACCGGGGAUAGAUUUGAAAAAGUUCUGCCAGAAACAGGAGUGGAUGUGUCAGGAGAAUCUGGGCAGAGAACCAGGAAUGGAAGCCAAUUAAAGCUCUCUGAGAACUCUGACUUAGGCCAUUUUAAUUUCUUCUAAGUAGUAAAAUAUAUGAGACCGACAAAUUAAAUACUUCUCAUAAAAACAAAACCGACGAAAUGUAUGGCUCAUUUACAUUGUAAAUCUCCAAUUAAGAGGAGAAAUAAACCCAUUCUGGACACCUGAACUGGCGAGACCAGUUCAAUUGUGUCCCCCAAAAUCCAUAUGUGGGAAUUCAAACUCCCAGCAUCCCCGAAUGUGACCUGAUUUGGAGAUGGGCCCUUUGCUGAGAUAAUUAACUUAAAAUGAACUCACUGCAGGUGGAGGUGGGGGGGGCUGGUGUCUUCAUAAAGAGGAGAAAUUUGGAGACAGACACAGACAGGGAGAGCGCCACGUGAAGAUGAAGGCCAAGACUGGGAGACACUUUUCCAAGCCAAACACUACCCAGGCUUAUGAGCAAAAAAAAAACCUCCAGGAGCUGGAAGAGAGGCUCCCAAGAGAGGCUCCCGGAGCCCCUGUAGAGGACCCACCCUGCCAACACCUUGAUUUUGAACUUGCAGCCUCCAAAACUGUGAGAUGAUAAAUUUCUGCUGUUUUUUAAGCCAUCCAGUACUGGGACAAGUCCUAAGGUGUAUGAUAAAUUAUAUUGUUUGCUGAGAAUGAUCAAAAGGAAAACCUGGCCACCCCCCACCCCCGACCUCCUGCAAGUGCAAAACUGCUUGGGACAUUCUAAAGUAGCAAAACAGUAUAUAUAUAUAUGUCACACGCCAGUUAAAACAAUUCUUUAAGGAUGGGAUACGUGACCCUGCCCCCGUGGCUCCCUCGUGGAGAAUACUUUCUGGUUUGUCCGUGAUCAGUGGUGAGCAGGCACCAGCUGCCCACCUAGUUUCUCUUGGGUCUAUGAGAAAACACAGAACACCUGUUUGUUAAUAAUGAGCACCUGUUCAGAGAGAAUAAAUACGUGGGUCAGAAUCUGCUUGAGGCCCUCAGCCUGGAAGGCUGACAACUCCCUGCGGCUCUCAGCUUGGAAGACUGUUGGCCCCGGGGUUGUCCCACUUUGCUGUUCUAGCUGGGUGUCUGCUUCUCAAUUCCUUCAGCACCGCCCGGUGGGGUCUCUACGGCCGAGCUGGUCUCGGUAACCCAGUUGGAGGCACUUUGCUGCAGCAGCCUUGGGAAACUAAUACAGGUAAACAAAACAACAAAGAUUUUUCUUCUUCUCAUGUUGUGUUCGGAUUUUCCUCUUCUUAUAAAGACACCCGUCCUUAUAGUAGAACAAUUUAUAGUCCUUUGGCUGUACACCCGAAUGUUCAUUGCAGCACUGUUUACAAUAGCAAAGACCUGGAACCAACCCAAACGCCCAUUGAUGAUAGACUGGACAGGGAAAAUGUGGCACGUAUACACCAUGGAAUGCUACGCAGCCAUCAAAAGCAAUGAGUUCGUGUCCUUUGUAGGGACAUGGAUGAACCUGGAGAACAUCAUUCUCAGCAAACUGAUAGAAGAACAGAAAAUCAAACACUGCAUGUUCUCACUCAUAGGUGGGUGUUGAACAAUGAGAACACAUGGACACAGGAAGGGGAGCACUACA